UACAGAGACUGCAAGCGUUAUUCGGAUUCACUGGGCGUAAAGGGUGCGCAGGCGGCCAAGUGUGUGAGGCGUGAAAGCCCGGGGCUUAACUCCGGAAUUGCACCUCAAACUACAUGGCUAGAGCAUUGGAGAGGGUAGCAGAAUUCACGGUGUAGCAGUGAAAUGCGUAGAUAUCGUGAGGAAUACCAGAGGCGAAGGCGGCUACCUGGACAAUUGCUGACGCUCAGGCACGAAAGCAUGGGGAGCAAACAGG
rnacentral:rRNA from 1 species